ACACGGGCUGCCCUGGGAAUGCCCGAGCAUGUGGCAGAGCCCUGGGGGCAGCUGCUGUCCAGGGACAGCACCAGGUGGCACGUGGGGGAGUCCACAGAUAAGCCAGGAGGGUGAAUCUGGUGGUUCAUGAUUGGAUUUUACUUUGCUGGUGCCUUUUUUAAGACCACAGACAGCACCAGCCACAAAAAUGAAGAUUUUACUCACUAUCAAGCCCACUGAGAAUUGGUGUGGAGUCAGCCAGGGCUUGUCCUGCAGGACCCUCCAUUCCUGGAAAAACUGGGAAAGUCUCAGGAAAGAAGGCCUAAUCCAGGUGCAGCCCUCGUUUCUCCUUGGAUCCGAGCCUCUGGAGCUGCUGGAGCUGAGCUGUGUCCCAGGAGGGCAGCUUGGCUUGCAAGGAGAGCAAACCUUCCCCAAACCUGCCUGCAGGGGAGGAGCAGCCAGGCUGCCAUUCCCAGGGGACAAGGAGAGCAUCCACCUUCCCCUUCUGACCCUUUCCACUCUGCUCUCUCACCCAUCAUCUCCCUGUCCCUCCCUUCAUCUCUCUUUCCCUCUUUCCCUUUUCUCUCCAUGGAGAUGAGCAAAUCAGAGCCUCUGCUUCAACCCCCCCAGUAAGACCUGGAUCAUUUUUAUAAUUUUAUUUCUAAUUAAUCCAUUUCCCUCUGCCCAGUGGAGCCUGUGGGGUGACCCCAGACCAUGUAGGACCCUCCACAUCAGCUGAGAAACGGGAUUCUCCUUUAUUAAAUGUGGAAGUCCAUCUGCCACUGCAGAAAACAUUUCCCUGCCCUGCCAGUGAAUGAGUUCAGUCUCUGGAAUAAAUGAGUGGGAAUCCA